AGGAAGGCUCUUGGGUUGUAAACCUCUUUUCUCAGGGAAGAAAAAAUGACGGUACCUGAGGAAUAAGCAUCGGCUAACUCCGUGCCAGCAGCCGCGGUAAUACGGAGGAUGCAAGCGUUAUCCGGAAUGAUUGGGCGUAAAGCGUCCGCAGGUGGCAGUGUAAGUCUGCUGUUAAAGCGUCUGGCUCAACCAGAUAAGGGCAGUGGAAACUACACAGCUAGAGUACGUUCGGGGCAGAGGGAAUUCCUGGUGUAGCGGUGAAAUGCGUAGAGAUCAGGAAGAACACCGGUGGCGAAAGCGCUCUGCYAGGCCGUAACUGACACUGAGGGACGAAAGCUAGGGGAGCGAAUGGGAUUAGAUA
rnacentral:rRNA from 1 species